AUUUUGUCAGUAUGGCGGUGUAGGAUGUGUAGGACGUCUGGGACGAAGGUUCGUGAGGAUUUCGUUGAAAUUACACGGUUAUGUGUCAGCACAGGAAUUGUGUAUGUGCUCCAGCCCCUUCACCCUGUUCCAUGAGAAGGAAAUGGCUGCUGCGUGUCUUUUCUUAGCUUGCAGACUAGUACAGCAUCCAAGGGCUGUGGAAGAUGUGAUAAAGAUAGGACACAGGUGCCUCCACCCAGAGCAGCCUUGACUCAACACAGCAUCAGAGAUACACCGGGCGCAAGCACAGGAGCUGGUAUUCCUUGAGAAUGUCUUGCUUUGACAUGUCAGUUGACCAUCCGCAUGCAGACAUUGUGCACUGCUUCCAUCUGGGUAUAGGUAAGCGUCUUGCUGUCACUGCAGAGAGAUGAGGUAAGUGGAGGCUGCUCAGGUGCCUCUAAGAAGACUACUCGAAGAGCUGGAUUAUUCUGUGGUGUUGUGAACAUUAUCAUGUGGAAUUAUACGCAGAGUAUUUUUUGUACCUUAUUGGCAUGCAUAGCCACUAUGGUUGUUGUGAAGAGAGAGAGCACACUUUGACUAUUUAUUCUAAUGUGACAGUGAACAUCAGCAGAAAUACAGAUCUACAGAUAAUAAAUAAUGGCUAUUUCUUAUCCUCACUUUUGUGUUGAUGUGGUAGUGACGAUGAUGAUGAUUGUUAUCAGCAGCAUCACAGUUGAUGUAUGUUUCUUCUU